rnacentral:rRNA from 1 species
GAAAAGAACUUUGAAAAGAGAGUAAAAUAGUACGUGAAAUUGUUGAAAGGGAAACGAUUGAAGUCAGUCGUACUGGCGAAAAAUCAACUACUCGAGUGAGUACUUGUGGGCGUACGUGAGCUUCACGGCCGCGUUGUUUGCAAUGUUCGUGCUCUUGUGGUGUACUUUUUCGUGUGGUAGGUCAGCAUCGAUUUCGAUCGCCAUAAAAUGGCCGGAGGAAUGUAGCUUCGACCUCGGUUGAAGUGUUAUAGCCUUUGGUAGAUGUGGUGUUUGGGAUCGAGGAUUGCAACGAAUACCCUUUGGGCUAUCCGUCUGACCUCUGAAAGUCGCUCGGGUGUUGAAAGCGUGCUUACGGUUAUCCAAGUUGACUGUCAAUAGAUUAGAACGUGAUUACAUUCGU